UACAGAGGUCCCAAGCGUUGCUCGGAAUCACUGGGCGUAAAGGGUGCGUAGGCGGGUCUUUAAGUCAGGGGUGAAAUCCUGGAGCUCAACUCCAGAACUGCCUUUGAUACUGGCGACCUUGAGUCCGGGAGAGGUGAGUGGAACUGCGAGUGUAGAGGUGAAAUUCGUAGAUAUUCGCAAGAACACCAGUGGCGAAGGCGGCUCACUGGCCCGGUACUGACGCUGAGGUGCGAAAGCGUGGGGAGCAAACAGG
rnacentral:rRNA from 1 species